GCGGAAGAUGUAACGGGGCUAAACCAUGCACCGAAGCUGCGGCAGCGAACGUAUCACUUAAAGCGAUUCAGCGGGUUACGAUUGACGGAGCGAAGCGACGUCAAAGCGUAUACAAAGUCGAGUCGGUUUAAGGAUACGUUCGUUGGGUAGGGGAGCGUUCUGUAAGCCCGUGAAGGUGGCCUGUGAGGGUUGCUGGAGGUAUCAGAAGUGCGAAUGCUGACAUAAGUAACGAUAAAGCG
rnacentral:rRNA from 1 species